CUGGAGGUAUCAGAAGUGCGAAUGCUGACAUAAGUAACGAUAAAGCGGGUGAAAAGCCCGCUCGCCGGAAGACCAAGGGUUCCUGUCCAACGUUAAUCGGGGCAGGGUGAGUCGACCCCUAAGGCGAGGCCGAAAGGCGUAGUCGAUGGGAAACAGGUUAAUAUUCCUGUACUUGGUGUUACUGCGAAGGGGGGACGGAGAAGGCUAUGUUGGCCGGGCGACGGUUGUCCCGGUUUAAGCGUGUAGGCUGGUUUUCCAGGCAAAUCCGGAAAAUCAAGGCUGAGGCGUGAUGACGAGGCACUACGGUGCUGAAGCAACAAAUGCCCUGCUUCCAGGAAAAGCCUCUAAGCAUCAGGUAACAUCAAAUCGUACCCCAAACCGACACAGGUGGUCAGGUAGAGAAUACCAAGGCGCUUGAGAGAACUCGGGUGAAGGAACUAGGCAAAAUGGUGCCGUAACUUCGGGAGAAGGCACGCUGAUAUGUAGGUGAAGCGACUUGCUCGUGGAGCUGAAAUCAGUCGAAGAUACCAGCUGGCUGCAA
rnacentral:rRNA from 1 species